AGAGCCGCAACCUGCACAGCCAUGCCCGGGCAAGAACUCAGGACGGUGAAUGGCUCUCAGAUGCUCCUGGUGUUGCUGGUGCUCUCGUGGCUGCCGCAUGGGGGCGCCCUGUCUCUGGCCGAGGCGAGCCGCGCAAGUUUCCCGGGACCCUCAGAGUUGCACUCCGAAGACUCCAGAUUCCGAGAGUUGCGGAAACGCUACGAGGACCUGCUAACCAGGCUGCGGGCCAACCAGAGCUGGGAAGAUUCGAACACCGACCUCGUCCCGGCCCCUGCAGUCCGGAUACUCACGCCAGAAGGUAAUGCGGCUGGGAUCCGGCGGCCACCUGCACCUGCGUAUCUCUCGGGCCGCCCUUCCCGAGGGGCUCCCCGAGGCCUCCCGCCUUCACCGGGCUCUGUUCCGGCUGUCCCCGACGGCGUCAAGGUCGUGGGACGUGACACGACCGCUGCGGCGUCAGCUCAGCCUUGCAAGACCCCAGGCGCCCGCGCUGCACCUGCGACUGUCGCCGCCGCCGUCGCAGUCGGACCAACUGCUGGCAGAAUCUUCGUCCGCACGGCCCCAGCUGGAGUUGCACUUGCGGCCGCAAGCCGCCAGGGGGCGCCGCAGAGCGCGUGCGCGCAACGGGGACCACUGUCCGCUCGGGCCCGGGCGUUGCUGCCGUCUGCACACGGUCCGCGCGUCGCUGGAAGACCUGGGCUGGGCCGAUUGGGUGCUGUCGCCACGGGAGGUGCAAGUGACCAUGUGCAUCGGCGCGUGCCCGAGCCAGUUCCGGGCGGCAAACAUGCACGCGCAGAUCAAGACGAGCCUGCACCGCCUGAAGCCCGACACGGUGCCAGCGCCCUGCUGCGUGCCCGCCAGCUACAAUCCCAUGGUGCUCAUUCAAAAGACCGACACCGGGGUGUCGCUCCAGACCUAUGAUGACUUGUUAGCCAAAGACUGCCACUGCAUAUGAGCAGUCCUGGUCCUUCCACUGUGCACCUGCGCGGAGGACGCGACCUCAGUUGUCCUGCCCUGUGGAAUGGGCUCAAGGUUCCUGAGACACCCGAUUCCUGCCCAAACAGCUGUAUUUAUAUAAGUCUGUUAUUUAUUAUUAAUUUAUUGGGGUGACCUUCUUGGGGACUCGGGGGCUGGUCUGAUGGAACUGUGUAUUUAUUUAAAACUCUGGUGAUAAAAAUAAAGCUGUCUGAAC
rnacentral:lncRNA from 1 species